CGAUUCCCUGGUUUGGACUGGUUUUUGGAUUCAGCGCGCCUCGGUUUGGACCUCGUUUGACUGUUUGGUGGAGUCAGACGUGGCCAACAUGGCGACCGUCGAACCCUCCCACAUGGCCUUUCAGAGAUCUUUGGCUGACGUCAUCUGGAAGUCAAUUUUAGAUCAGAGAAGCUUGAAUUUAAGCCACGCCCCCUGAUCAUUGGAGGGAGGGGAAAGUAUUACAGUCUGCAGCUCGAAGGAUCCACAGACCACAAACACAAGGCCGAUGACUUCAGAGCGUCAGAAUCAUUAAAAUGUAAAUCCUCAGGGAGCAGGAAUG
rnacentral:lncRNA from 1 species